GGCGGUCUGCCCAGAAUCCCCCUUGCAGUCAUGGGAAGGCUGUGAGGUCACAAAGAGAGACCUUGACAGUGGAGAGCAUGGAUUUAUCAAUGGGGAAUCCCAUUGAUUUGACAAUCACCCUGCAUAAGAGGUGGAAGGCAGAGAGCGCUGGAGCUGGACAGGGAGAUGAGAAGGCAGUCUGAGAGGCGGUGAGGAGCAGCCGUCGGUGGCCUGGUGGCAGUUUAUAGGCCCAGGGCCAUAUGUCCCAGAGUGACAUGCAGGGUUGCAAUUCUGCAAUGACAAAGAACAGCUGCGGUGACCACAGCGUGAACCACGACUGAUGACAAUCUGCAGGGAUUUUUGCAUCAAACCGGCAGUGUGGCUCGCAUAAUGGAUGAUGUCAUCCUUGAAGGCAGAAACCAUGUGUCCCCAGAAGUAUGUUGGCUCUCAAUAAGUAGCUGUUGAAUAAAUGAGUUGCUGGAUAUUCACAACUCACAUUUGCUAAGCGUGGAUGUGCCAGGUUCCGUGUGUGUGUUUAUGUCAUUGAAUCUUCGUAACAACUUAAUGAGGGAUGGGGAUAACAACUUAUUUACAGAUAAAUAACAACUUAUUUACAGAUGGGGAUACAGAGGCUUAAAGAAGUUCAAUAACCUGCCUCAGUUUGCCCAGCUAGUUAGUGGUUGAGCGACCUCUUAUCCACUCUUAGAGGGACUGGGAAAGCCUCCAGCUGAGGAUUUGAAUCUCAGGGGUGUUCACAGCCACUGUGAACCAAGAUAGGGAAGAUGUGUGGU